rnacentral:rRNA from 1 species
GACGAACGCUGGCGGCGUGCUUAACACAUGCAAGUCGAACGGAAAGGCCCUGCUUUUGUGGGGUGCUCGAGUGGCGAACGGGUGAGUAACACGUGAGUAACCUGCCCUUGACUUUGGGAUAACUUCAGGAAACUGGGGCUAAUACCGGAUAGGAGCUCCUGCUGCAUGGUGGGGGUUGGAAAGUUUCGGCGGUUGGGGAUGGACUCGCGGCUUAUCAGCUUGUUGGUGGGGUAGUGGCUUACCAAGGCUUUGACGGGUAGCCGGCCUGAGAGGGUGACCGGCCACAUGGGGACUGAGAUACGGCCCAGACUCCUACGGGAGGCAGCAGUGGGGAAUAUGGCACAAUGGGCGGAAGCCUGAGGCAGCAACGCCGCGUGCGGGAUGACGGCCUUCGGGUUGUAAACCGCUUUCGCCUGUGACGAAGCGUGAGUGACGGUAAUGGGUAAAGAAGCACCGGCUAACUACGUG